rnacentral:rRNA from 1 species
UACGUAGGGGGGCAAGCGUUGUCCGGAUUUAUUGGGCGUAAAGAGCUCGUAGGCGGUUUGGUAAGUCGGAUGUGAAAUCUCCAGGCUCAACCUGGAGGGGUCAUUCGAUACUGCCAUGACUAGAGUUCGGUAGGGGAGUGUGGAAUUCCUGGUGGAGCGGUGAAAUGCGCAGAGAUCAGGAGGAACACCCGUAGCGAAGGCGGCACUCUGGGCCGAUACUGACGCUGAGGAGCGAAAGCGUGGGGAGCGAACAGG